GAGUUUGAUCCUGGCUCAGAUUGAACGCUGGCGGCAGGCCUAACACAUGCAAGUCGAGCGGAAACGAGUUAACUGAACCUUCGGGGAACGUUAACGGCGUCGAGCGGCGGACGGGUGAGUAAUGCCUGGGAAAUUGCCCUGAUGUGGGGGAUAACCAUUGGAAACGAUGGCUAAUACCGCAUAAUAGCUUCGGCUCAAAGAGGGGGACCUUCGGGCCUCUCGCGUCAGGAUAUGCCCAGGUGGGAUUAGCUAGUUGGUGAGGUAAUGGCUCACCAAGGCGACGAUCCCUAGCUGGUCUGAGAGGAUGAUCAGCCACACUGGAACUGAGACACGGUCCAGACUCCUACGGGAGGCAGCAGUGGGGAAUAUUGCACAAUGGGCGCAAGCCUGAUGCAGCCAUGCCGCGUGUAUGAAGAAGGCCUUCGGGUUGUAAAGUACUUUCAGCAGUGAGGAAGGUGGGUAUGUUAAUAGCAUAUUCAUUUGACGUUAGCUGCAGAAGAAGCACCGGCUAACUCCNUGCCAGCAGCCGCGGUAAUACGGAGGGUGCGAGCGUUAAUCGNAAUUUACUG
rnacentral:rRNA from 1 species